rnacentral:rRNA from 1 species
AUGCAACCACCUAACAUUGAAGCUUAUGUUCUGCCAAGGCUAGAGAUGCGCUUUGAAACUUUUGAAGAAGCAAAGAACUUCUACAACCUCUAUGCGAAGCACGCGGAUUUUGCUGUCAGGGAAGGCUCCAAGUUUAAGACCAGAGCCUACCUUUAUUGCACGUGCUAUGGAGUCUAUCAUUCGAAGGUGUCUGAAGCAAAUAGACAGCAAAACAAAACGACAGCCAGGACUAACUGCGGGGCUAAAAUGAGGCUGAAGAUUGAAAAGGAUGGAACACUUGUCGUAAAAGAGAUAGUCUGGGAACACAACCACAGGCUAUAGCUCACUCCGCAAAUGCUUGUCUUCUUGCACUCCCACAAAAACUUUGACAAAACAAUCUUGCAGUACGUCAAGUACCUAUAGUUCAAAGGCAUUGAACACGCACAAAUCAUGAGCAUACUGGGCGGUGAUGACCCUGGUAGCUACUUCCUCGAAAUGAAUGCCAAAGACCUGAUUAACCUGAAAGCAAAGACUUCAAGGAUGGAUGAUGUGGACGAUGUCCUAAAGACUGUCAACUUCUUUAGGGAGAUGAAAGCUAUAAACAAGGAAUUCUUCUGUGACAUGCAACUCGAUGAGUCCGACAGAGUUAAGAACAUAUUCUAGGCGAAUGCAAGCUGCCGAGGGGCCUAUCAGGACUUCGGUGACUGUGUAACAUUUGACACCACAUAUAAGACCAACAAGUACCAUAUGCCACUUGGGGUGUUUGUCGGUACUAACAACCACUUUCAGACUACAUUCUUUGGUUUUGCCCUAAUAAGAGAUGAGGAUGCAGAAUCAUUCAGAUGGUUGUUCAAGACGUUUAGGUGCAUGAGAGGGAAGGCUCCUACAUGCAUCCUCACAGACCAGUGCCCGGCAAUGGCUUUGGCGAUACCAAAAGUUUUCAAGAACACAGUACACAAGAUGUGUCGCUGGCACAUUAUGAAGAAGUACAGGGAACGCCUCGCAUACCUGUACUACCUGCACGAAGACUUGAAAGAAGAAUUCACAUCAAUCCUCAAUAAGCCCCUCAUGCCAACUGAGUUUGAGGAUGCCUGGAAAGGACUCAUCGAUAGGUACAACCUCCCUAAUGAUGCCAUGAUGCUGGCUAUGUGGAACGAGCGUGAGAAAUGGAUAUUAGCCUACUUCAAAGAAAUUUUCUGCGCCAAAAUGACAUCCACACAGCGAAGUGAGAGCAUGAACUAUGUAGUCAAGAAGAACUUUGUAAGUGAGAGACAAAACCUACACCAGUUUGUCAGCCAGGUAAACUCCUUCGUCAAAACCAAGAGGCAAACAGAGAACCAAGAGACAAUGGGUAACAGGUAUAGCUCUAUCACCUAUCGUGAGACAAAAAAACAUGCUUACUAA